rnacentral:rRNA from 1 species
CCUACGGGUGGCAGCAGUGAGGAAUAUUGGUCAAUGGACGCAAGUCUGAACCAGCCAUGCCGCGUGCAGGAAGACGGCUCUAUGAGUUGUAAACUGCUUUUGUACGAGGGUAAACGCAGAUAAGUGUAUCUGUCUGAAAGGAUCGUACGAAUAAGGAUCGGCUAACUCCGGGCCAGCAGCCGCGGUAAUACGGAGGAUUCAAGCGUUAUCCGGAUUUAUUGGGUUUAAGGGGUGCGUAGGCGGUCGGAUAAGUUAGAGGUGAAAUCCCGAGGCUCAACUUCGGAAUUGCAUCUGAUACUGUUCGGCUAGAGAGUAGUAGCGGUAGGCGGAAUGUAUGGUGUAGCGGUGAAAUGCUUAGAGAUCGUACAGAACACCGAUUGCGAAGGCAGCAUACCGGCGCCCAACUGACGCUGAAGCACGAAAGCGUGGGUAGCGAACAGGAUUAGAUACCCUAGUAGUC